CCUACGGGUGGCUGCAGUGGGGAAUAUUGGACAAUGGGCGAAAGCCUGAUCCAGCCAUGCCGCGUGUGUGAAGAAGGCCUUCGGGUUGUAAAGCACUUUCAGUGGGGAAGAAAGCCUUGGGGCUAAUACCCUCGAGGAAGGACAUCACCCACAGAAGAAGCACCGGCUAACUCCGUGCCAGCAGCCGCGGUAAUACGGAGGGUGCGAGCGUUAAUCGGAAUUACUGGGCGUAAAGCGCGCGUAGGCGGUCUGAUAAGCCGGUUGUGAAAGCCCCGGGCUCAACCUGGGAACGGCAUCCGGAACUGGCAGGCUAGCGUGCAGGAGAGGAAGGUAGAAUUCCCGGUGUAGCGGUGAAAUGCGUAGAGAUCGGGAGGAAUACCAGUGGCGAAGGCGGCCUUCUGGACUGACACUGACGCUGAGGUGCGAAAGCGUGGGUAGCAAACAGGAUUAGAUACCCCAGUAGUC
rnacentral:rRNA from 1 species